rnacentral:rRNA from 1 species
UACAGAGACUGCAAGCGUUAUUCGGAUUCACUGGGCGUAAAGGGUGCGCAGGUGCCGAGUGUGUUAGGCGUGAAAGCCCGGGGCUUAACCCCGGAAUUGCACCUAAAACUACUUGGCUAGAGCAUUGGAGAGGGGAGCAGAAUUCAUGGUGUAGCAGUGAAAUGCGUAGAUAUCAGGAGGAACACCGGUGGCGAAGGCGGGUCUCUGGGCCGAUACUGACGCUGAGGAGCGAAAGCGUGGGGAGCGAACAGG